UGAAUACGAGAUGCUACGGCGUCGAAGCAGUGUAUGUCAGACUUCCAAGAAAAGCUCGCAAUGUCAUAAAUAAAGAAUGCCUGUACCAUAACCGACACAGGUGGGUAGGUAGAGUAUACUAAGGGGCGCGAGAUAACUCUCUCUAAGGAACUCGGCAAAAUAACUCCGUAACUUCGGGAGAAGGAGUGCCUUCUUUAAGAAGGUUGCAAUAACAAGAUCCAAGCAACUGUUUAUCAAAAACACAGGUCUCCGCUAAGUCGUAAGACGAUGUAUGGGGGCUGACGCCUGCCCAGUGCCAGAAGGUUAAAGAAGUUGGUUAGCUUUUGCGAAGCUGAUGACUGAAGCCCUGGUGAACGGCGGCCGUAACAAUAACGGUCCUAAGGUAGCGAAAUUCCUGUCGGGUAAGUUCCGACCCGCACGAAAGGCGUAAUGAUUUGGAUACUGUCUCGGAGAGGGACUCGGUGAAAUAGACUUGUCUGUGAAGAUGCGGACUACCUGCACCAGGACAGAAAGACCCUAUGAAGCUUUACUGUAACUUGAAAUUGAAAUUGGACUUUAUUUGCGCAGUAUAGGUGGAAGGCGUUGAAAGUAAUCUUGCGGGAUUAGUGGAGCCAUCAGUGAGAUACCACUCCUAUAAUGUUAGAUUUCUAACUUUGGAUCAUGAUCUGGUCAAAGAACAGUUUCAGGCGGGCAGUUUGACUGGGGCGGUCGCCUCCCAAAUGGUAACGGAGGCGUACAAAGGUUUCCUCUGAACGGGUAGAAAUCGUAUCUAGAGUGUAAAGGCAUAAGGAAGCUUGACUGUGAGACCUACAAGUCGAGCAGGGACGAAAGUCGGUCUUAGUGAUCUGACGGUGCUGAGUGGAAAGGCCGUCACUCAACGGAUAAAAGUUACUCUAAGGAUAACAGGCUGAUCUCCCCCAAGAGUUCACAUCGACGGGGAGGUUUGGCACCUCGAUGUCGGCUCAUCGCAUCCUGGGGCGGUAGUACGUCCCAAGGGUUGGGCUGUUCGCCCAUGAAAGCGGUACGCGAGCUGGGUUCAGAACGUCGUGAGACAGUUCGGUCCAUAUCCGGUGUAGGCGUUAGAAUAUUGAGAGGAGCCUUCUUUAGUACGAGAGGACCGAGAAGGACAUACCUCUGGUGUACCAGUUAUCGUGCCAACGGUAAACGCUGGGUAGCUAUGUAUGGAGAGGAUAACCGCUGAAAGCAUCUAAGUGGGAAGCCCACCUCAAGAUGAGUAUUCCC
rnacentral:rRNA from 1 species